UACGUAGGGUGCAAGCGUUAAUCGGAAUUACUGGGCGUAAAGCGUGCGCAGGCGGUUUUGUAAGUCUGACGUGAAAGCCCCGGGCUCAACCUGGGAAUUGCGUUGGAGACUGCAAGGCUUGAAUUUGGCAGAGGGGGGUAGAAUUCCACGUGUAGCAGUGAAAUGCGUAGAGAUGUGGAGGAACACCGAUGGCGAAGGCAGCCCCCUGGGUCAAGAUUGACGCUCAUGCACGAAAGCGUGGGGAGCAAACAGG
rnacentral:rRNA from 1 species